rnacentral:rRNA from 1 species
GACGAACGCUGGCGGCGUGCUUAACACAUGCAAGUCGUACGGUAAGGCCCUUUCGGGGGUACACGAGUGGCGAACGGGUGAGUAACACGUGCGUAACCUGCCCACAACUUUGGGAUAACGCUAGGAAACUGGUGCUAAUACUGGAUAUGUGCUCCUGCUGCAUGGUGGGGGUUGGAAAGCUCCGGCGGUUGUGGAUGGACUCGCGGCCUAUCAGCUUGUUGGUGGGGUAGUGGCCUACCAAGGCGGCGACGGGUAGCCGGCCUGAGAGGGUGACCGGCCACAUUGGGACUGAGAUACGGCCCAGACUCCGACGGGAGGCAGCAGUGGGGAAUAUUGAACAAUGGGCUCAAGCCGGAUGCAGCAACGCCGCGGGCGGGAUGACGGCCUUCGGGUUGUAAACCGCGUUCAGCAGGGACGAAGCUUUUUGUGACGGUACCUGCAGAAGAAGCACCGGCUAACUACGUG